rnacentral:rRNA from 1 species
AACGAACGCUGGCGGCAGGCCUAACACAUGCAAGUCGAACGCCGUAGCAAUACGGAGUGGCAGACGGGUGAGUAACACGUGGGAACGUACCCUUCGGUUCGGGAUAACUCAGGGAAACUUGAGCUAAUACCGGAUACGUCCGAGAGGAGAAAGAUUUAUUGCCGAGGGAUCGGCCCGCGUCUGAUUAGCUUGUUGGUGAGGUAACGGCUCACCAAGGCGACGAUCAGUAGCUGGUCGAGAGGAUGAUCAGCCACAUUGGGACUGAGACACGGCCCAAACUCCUACGGGAGGCAGCAGUGGGGAAUAUUGGACAAUGGGCGCAAGCCUGAUCCAGCCAUGCCGCGUGAGUGAUGAAGGCCCUAGGGUUGUAAAGCCCUUUCGGC